rnacentral:rRNA from 1 species
AGUGAACGCUGGCGGUAGGCCUAACACAUGCAAGUCGAACGGCAGCACAGUAAGAGCUUGCUCUUACGGGUGGCGAGUGGCGGACGGGUGAGGAAUACAUCGGAAUCUACUUUUUCGUGGGGGAUAACGUAGGGAAACUUACGCUAAUACCGCAUACGACCUACGGGUGAAAGCAGGGGAUCUUCGGACCUUGCGCGAUUGAAUGAGCCGAUGUCGGAUUAGCUAGUUGGCGGGGUAAAGGCCCACCAAGGCGACGAUCCGUAGCUGGUCUGAGAGGAUGAUCAGCCACACUGGAACUGAGACACGGUCCAGACGCCUACGGGAGGCAGCAGUGGGGAAUAUUGGACAAUGGGCGCAAGCCUGAUCCAGCCAUACCGCGUGGGUGAAGAAGUCCUUCGGGUUGUAAAGCCCUUUUGUUGGGAAAGAAAAGCAGCAGGUUAAUACCCCGCUGUUCUGACGGUACCCAAAGAAUAAGCACCGGCUAACUUCGUG